CAACAAUAAGGCAGACUCUGCUGUCUUUUUGUCCCUUCAUGUUCCCUUGAGAUGAUGGUGAAAAUGUGUCCCAUAUCUUGCAGCACCUCUAUACAAGAUAGCAUCCUGCAAGAACUGCUUCACUGUUUCUUAGUGUGCAACAGACUGGCCAACCUCAUAGAGUAAGUAAGCAAGAAGCUCCUCUAAAAGGCUUGGUCUACAGCAGAGAAAGUUAAUGAACCCCCCACAAGACAGAUACAGAUUACACAGCAAGACUGCUUAUGCUAACACAACUUGUUACUACUGCCAUAAAUGA